rnacentral:rRNA from 1 species
GACGAACGCUGGCGGCGCGCCUCAUACAUGCAAGUCGAACGAGAAGCCCGGGCUUGCCCGGGUGGAGAGUGGCGAACGGGUGAGGAACACGUGAGGAACCUGCCCCGAAGACUGGGAUAACACCGGGAAACCGGUGCUAAUACCGGAUGCCCUCAUCGGAUCUCCUGUUUCGGUGAGGAAAUGGAUUCCGCUUCGGGAUGGCCUCGCGGCCUAUCAGCUUGUUGGUGGGGUAACGGCCCACCAAGGCUUCGACGGGUAGCUGGUCUGAGAGGAUGUCCAGCCACACUGGGACUGAGACACGGCCCAGACUCCUACGGGAGGCAGCAGUAGGGAAUCUUGCGCAAUGAGCGAAAGCUUGACGCAGCGACGCCGCGUGCGGGAUGAAGGCCCUCGGGUCGUAAACCGCUUUCAGCAGGGACGAAACUGACGGUGCCUGCAGAAGAAGGCCCGGCCAACUACGUGCCAGCAGCCGCCGUAAGAC